UUGCUUUGGCAGAUUAGUGCUUUAAAUUUAGAAUUUAAAUAUGUGUGUGUUAAUCACACAAGUAAUACAUU
rnacentral:tRNA from 1 species